CGCAGAUGCUCACAGUGUUCGGUCUCAAUUAGACUGCAAUAGCCAGUCUACAAUGACAACAAAAUUCAAGAUUUGAAAUUAUUGAGCAAAGCGGGAAAGCAUGGAAAUAACCUGUGAUUUAUGUGGACACCCACUGUACAAUAUAAUCGAUGAAAGAGUCAUGCAAACUUGGAAAACAUGAGGCAAGGGUCAACAACAACCAAUCAGAUCGCUCUCCACUCAAGCCUCGCUCUCCAUCCAGAUGUCACCACAGGCCUCAACAGCUGGAACGAUGAC